rnacentral:rRNA from 1 species
GAUGAACGCUAGCUACAGGCUUAACACAUGCAAGUCGAGGGGUAACGAGAGGAAAGCUUGCUUUCCUUGUCGACGACCGGCGCACGGGUGAGUAACGCGUAUCCAACCUGCCCCCAACUAAGGAAUAACCUGCGAAAGUAAGACUAAUACCUUAUAAUUUCCUCAGAUGUCAUCUGACGAGGAAUAAAGAUUUAUCGGUUGUGGAUGGGGAUGCGUCUGAUUAGCUUGUUGGCGGGGUAACGGCCCACCAAGGCAACGAUCAGUAGGGGUUCUGAGAGGAAGGUCCCCCACAUUGGAACUGAGACACGGUCCAAACUCCUACGGGAGGCAGCAGUGAGGAAUAUUGGUCAAUGGGCGAAAGCCUGAACCAGCCAAGUAGCGUGCAGGAUGACGGCCCUAUGGGUUGUAAACUGCUUUUAUACAGGAAUAAAGUUAGCCACGUGUGGUUAUUUGUAGGUACUGUAUGAAUAAGGACCGGCUAAUUCCGUGCCAGCCGCCGCGGUAACAC